rnacentral:rRNA from 1 species
GACGAACGCUGGCGGCGUGCUUAACACAUGCAAGUCGAACGAAGAGCGACGGAAGCUUGCUUCUAUCAAUCUUAGUGGCGAACGGGUGAGUAACGCGCAAUCAACCUGCCCUUCAGAGGGGGACAACAGUUGGAAACGACUGCUAAUACCGCAUACGAUCUAACCUCGGCAUCGAGGAUAGAUGAAAGGUGGCCUCUACAUGUAAGCUAUCACUGAAGGAGGGGAUUGCGUCUGAUUAGCUAGUUGGAGGGGUAACGGCCCACCAAGGCGAUGAUCAGUAGCCGGUCUGAGGGGAUGAACGACCACAUUGGGACUGAGACACGGCCCAGACUCCUACGGGAGGCAGCAGUGGGGAAUCUUCCGCAAUGGACGAAAGUCUGACGGAGCAACGCCGCGUGAGUGAUGACGGCCUUCGGGUUGUAAAGCUCUGUUAAUCGGGACGAAAGGCCUUCUUGCGAAUAGUGAGAAGGAUUGACGGUACCGGAAUAGAAAGCCACGGCUAACUACGUG